UUAAUUGAAAUUUAUUAUUAUUAGUAUUGAGUAUAGAAAAUAUUUUUUUUAUGAAAGUUAAUUAGUAAUGUAAAUGAAUUAUUUUAAUAUUUGAAAAGAAUAUUUUAUUUAUAGUAUCUUGUGUAUCAGGGUUUAUUUAUAAUAAUUUAUUGAUUUAAAAAUCUCGAAAUUUUAAGGGUUCUAUUAAAAUAUUUUAGAUAUUAUAAAAUCUUAAUUAAAUUUAAUAUAGGAAUGAAAAGUUAAUCGUUUAAUAUUAUAUCUAGUUUUUUUAGAAAAAAUUUAAUUUAUUUUAAUUUAUAUUAGAAUUUUAUAUUAAUAGAUUUAUUAGGGAUAAGCUUAAUUAAUAGGUUAUAUAAAAAAAAAAUUAUUUAAAUUAAAUAGGAUUAAUAUUUUUCAUUUAUAUUAUUUUUUAUUAAAUAAUUUAUAAUAUAUAAAAAUUUUUUUUUUUAUUAAUUUAUCUAUAAAAAUAUUUUUAAUAAUUAAAUAUAAAAAGAAAAAUUGAUAAAAUUAGUAAAUUAGAAAUUUAAAAAUAAGGUUAUAAAGAAAAUUAAAUUUAUGAAUUAGGCAAAUACAUUUUCACCUGUUUAGUAAAAACAUGGUUAUUUGCAUAAGAUAAAUAAUUGGACCUGCCCAUUGAUAUAAAUUAAAAGGCUGCAGUAUUUUAACUGUACAAAGGUAGCAUAAUCAUUAGCUUUUUAAUUGAAAGCUUGUAUGAAUGGUUUGAUGAAAAAUGUUCUUUAUUGAUUUAAUUAAUUGAAUUUUUUCAUUAAGUGAAAAAACUUAGAUUUUUAAGAAAGACGAUAAGACCCUAUAAAAUUUUAUUAUUAUAUAAAUAUUAGAAUAUUUAUAAUAAAUUAAUUGGGGAAAUUAAGUAAUUUAAUUUAUUAUAUGUUUUUUAUUAUUAUGAUAAGUUUAAUGAUUCUAAUAUGAGGAUGUAAGAUAUAAUUGCUUUAGGGAUAACAGCGUAAUAUUUUUUUAUAGUUCUUAUAGAAAAAAAGGUUUGCGACCUC
rnacentral:rRNA from 1 species